AGAGAGAGAGAGAGAGAGAGAGAGAGCAGCGCUCCACCGAGGUCCCAAGGAUAACACAGCCAGACAACGCCGAGAGACAGCUGUGUGCCCUGUACCUUUAACCCGACGACUUGAAUCUGAGCAAGCGUAACCAGAUAAUUUGAAGGCAUUUACAACUCAACGCUAACCAAACUCUCUUCUUCUUGAAGAACCGGCACAGCACGGUGAGCCACGGCCUUCUCGGAGGAGGAUCAGAGUGAGGUGGAUGAAGACAGCUUCCUGUGCAUGUUGUGUGCCUCCCAGGAUACACUCCAGAUGACUCCGGCAGGGAAAGACUAGAGCAGAAACUUCGUUAACUCUUUUUACCAAGGAAAAAAAGGAACGUUACUAGCAGUCAGACAGAGCUCCUUUAGGGUGUUAGGAAACUUACCAUCAUCCAAAAACUGAGUUCCACGUGUGUGCAGUCAGCUUGGAAACUCAUCUGAACUAGGCUACCUUGUGUGUAAAACUUUAGAAGUUAAAAGACAAAACACUUUGCAUCGUAAGUCGACAGACAAAAGCAAAAUACAACAGUAGGAAUAAGAAGGGGGAGAAAGCCUGCCGGCAUGGAUAUGUCUCCUGCUGCUUGCCGAUCAAGAUGUGGAACUCUCAGCUGCUCCAGCACCAUGUCUGCCUGCAUGCUGCCCUGCUUCCUGCCAGGAUGAUAAUGGAACUGUGAGCCAGGUUCAAAUAAAUUUAUGAUAAAGUAUUUAUAGGUACAAACUUGACCAAGGAAGCCAUCCUGGAUGACAAGACAGAAGGUGUAGUCAAAGACCAAAGGUAGGGACUUACACAGAACUGAUUUUGUAGCAUUUCUGCCUACACUGACAGAAAUCCCAUAAUCACCCAAGUUAGGAUGAAAUAGAAGAUGGACCAAAAUCUGGAGCAAAGAAAAUGUCAACAUCAAUAAUACUAUCAUAUUGUGUUUGAGAACAAUUAAUAAAAUCUUAGGAUUUCUGUA